GAUGAACGCUGGCGGCGGGCCUAACACAUGCAAGUCGAGCGAACAGACGAGGAUCGUGCUUCGCUGACGUGAGCGGCGGACGGGUGAGGAACAGGUGGAUAACCUACCUAUAGGACUGAGGUAAGGUCGGGAAACCGGAGAUAAUACAGGAUAAGAUAUUGAACGGGAGGGAUCAAUAGAGAAAGAGGGUUUUGAUGAGACUAAUAGAGAGAUCCGGGCCGCAUUAGCUAGUUGGUAAGGUAACGGCCUACCAAGGCAACGAUGCGUAGCCGACCUGAGAGGGUGAUCGGCCACACUGGAACUGAGACACGGUCCAGACUCCUACGGGAGGCAGCAGUAGGGAAUCUUCCACAAUGGGCGAAAGCCUGACGGAGCAACGCCGCGUGUGUGAUGAAGGUCUUCGGAUCGUAAAACUCUGUUAUUAGGGAAGAACAACUGUGUAUGUAUCUCUGCACGUCUUGACGGUACCUAAAGAGAAAGCACCGGCUAACUACGUG
rnacentral:rRNA from 1 species